UUGGUAUCUGUCGAGAGGGAAAGCAGUCCGAACGAUUAGCGCGGGUCGAAGAACAGCAACGAGGGAAGCAACAACCGCCAACAGUAGACUGCUUGGAUUUUCUAACUUGUUUUAUGGAACGCAAUUGCAAUUUGAUGAAGAAAAUCAAACGAGAGAGGCAUUUGAAAUCGAAGCAGGCGUGAAACAUAUCAACCCUUGAAGAUGACUGUUAAAAUACGCUGAGAAAAUUGGAGUAUAUUCUCAAACGAUUAGUGCGCUUUUUAGCAGUUUGAUUAAUGUAGUUUGCAAUGAAUCAUAUCACUUCACAACUGUCAAAUUAUUGUUCUCGAUCCCGAUUCCUGGCUAGAAUUUGUCUGUCGAGCACGAAAGGCUUGAAUCGUUUUUCCGAUCGACAGAUCACGUAGACGAUAUUUCAUGGGCGAAAUUCGACAUAUUUCUAUGGAAACGUCCUAAACUAUUUUUCAAAGUGGGGUUGUUUAAUUGCAAAUUAAACCAUUUUUUUUACAAUUUU